UACGAAGGGGGCGAGCGUUGUUCGGAUUUACUGGGCGUAAAGGGCGCGUAGGCGGCGCGAGAAGUCGAGUGUGAAAGCCCCGGGCUCAACCUGGGAAUUGCAUUCGAGACUGCUCUGCUAGGGUGCGGAAGAGGGAAGCGGAAUUUCCGGUGUAGCGGUGAAAUGCGCAGAUAUCGGAAGGAACACCAGUGGCGAAAGCGGCUUCCUGGUCCAGCACCGACGUUCAGGCACGAAAGCGUGGGGAGCAAACAGG
rnacentral:rRNA from 1 species